rnacentral:rRNA from 1 species
UCUCUCAGGACGAACGCUGGCGGCGUGCCUAAUACAUGCAAGUCGAGCGGACAGAAGGGAGCUUGCUCCCKGAUGUUAGCGGCGGACGGGUGAGUAACACGUGGGUAACCUGCCUGUAAGACUGGGAUAACUCCGGGAAACCGGAGCUAAUACCGGAUAGUUCCUUGAACCGCAUGGUUCAAGGAUGAAAGACGGUUUCGGCUGUCACUUACAGAUGGACCCGCGGCGCAUUAGCUAGUUGGUGGGGUAAUGGCUCACCAAGGCGACGAUGCGUAGCCGACCUGAGAGGGUGAUCGGCCACACUGGGACUGAGACACGGCCCAGACUCCUACGGGAGGCAGCAGUAGGGAAUCUUCCGCAAUGGACGAAAGUCUGACGGAGCAACGCCGCGUGAGUGAUGAAGGUUUUCGGAUCGUAAAGCUCUGUUGUUAGGGAAGAACAAGUGCGAGAGUAACUGCUCGCACCUUGACGGUACCUAACCAGAAAGCCACGGCUAACUACGUGCCAGCAGCCGCGGUAAUACGUAGGUGGCAAGCGUUGUCCGGAAUUAUUGGGCGUAAAGGGCUCGCAGGCGGUUUCUUAAGUCUGAUGUGAAAGCCCCCGGCUCAACCGGGGAGGGUCAUUGGAAACUGGGAAACUUGAGUGCAGAAGAGGAGAGUGGAAUUCCACGUGUAGCGGUGAAAUGCGUAGAGAUGUGGAGGAACACCAGUGGCGAAGGCGACUCUCUGGUCUGUAACUGACGCUGAGGAGCGAAAGCGUGGGGAGCGAACAGGAUUAGAUACCCUGGUAGUCCACGCCGUAAACGAUGAGUGCUAAGUGUUAGGGGGUUUCCGCCCCUUAGUGCUGCAGCUAACGCAUAAGCMCUCCCCCCCGGACU